AUUGAACGCUGGCGGCAGGCCUAACACAUGCAAGUCGAGCGAGCGGCGGACGGGUGAGUAAUGUCUGGGAAUCUGCCCGAUGGAGGGGGAUAACUACUGGAAACGGUGGCUAAUACCGCAUACUAUCGGAUGUGCCCAUAUGGGAUUAGCUAGUAGGUGGGGUAAAGGCUCACCUAGGCGACGAUCCCUAGCUGGUCUGAGAGGAUGAUCAGCCACACUGGGACGGAGACACGGGCCAGACUCCUACGGGAGGCAGCAGUGGGGAAUAUUGCACAAUGGGCGCAAGCCUGAUGCAGCCAUGCCGCGUGUAUGAAGAAGGCCUUCGGGUUGUAAAGUACUUUCAGCGGGGAGGCGUUACCCGCAGAAGAAGCACCGGCUAACUCCGUGCCAGCAGCCGCGGUAAUAC
rnacentral:rRNA from 1 species